GGACGAUUAGCUCAGCUGGUUAGAGCGCAUCGUUUACACCGAUGAGGUCGCAGGUUCGAAUCCUGCAUCGUUCA
rnacentral:tRNA from 1 species